UACGAAGGGGGCUAGCGUUGUUCGGAAUCACUGGGCGUAAAGCGCACGUAGGCGGACCGUUAAGUCGGAGGUGAAAGCCUGGGGCUCAACCCCAGAACUGCCUUCGAUACUGGCGGUCUUGAGUAUGGUAGAGGUUGGUGGAACUCCGAGUGUAGAGGUGAAAUUCGUAGAUAUUCGGAAAGAACACCAGUGGCGAAGGCGGCCAACUGGACCAUUACUGACGCUGAGGUGGCGAAAGCGUGGGAGCAAACAGG
rnacentral:rRNA from 1 species